GGAAUAUUGCACAAUGGGGGAAACCCUGAUGCAGCGACGCCGCGUGAAGGAAGAAGUAUCUCGGUAUGUAAACUCCUAUCAGCAGGGAAGAAAACAGACGGUACCUGACUAAGAAGCCCCGGCUAACUACGUGCCAGCAGCCGCGGUAAUACGUAGGGGGCAAGCGUUAUCCGGAAUUACUGGGUGUAAAGGGAGCGUAGACGGUUAAGUAAGUCUGGAGUGAAAGGCCGGGGCCCAACCCCGGGACUGCUCUGGAAACUAUUCAACUUGAGUGCAGGAGAGGUAAGCGGAAUUCCUAGUGUAGCGGUGAAGUGCGUAGAUAUUAGGAGGAACACCAGUGGCGAAGGCGGCUUACUGGACUGUAACUGACGUUGAGGCUCGAAAGCGUGGGGAGCAAA
rnacentral:rRNA from 1 species